rnacentral:pre_miRNA from 1 species
ACAACAUUCGGGUCGGUCUACCGGGUAAUAUCACCCGUUCGGUGGAAGAUUUUCCUUUCGUCGU